rnacentral:tRNA from 1 species
AUCUAGCGGUUAGGAUUCCUGGCUCUCACCCAGGAAGCCUGGGUUCGACUCCUGG